AGAGCAGUGCAGCACGAGGGGGCCUCGGGGCCUGACACAGUCCUCGAGCUUCGGUUGCCAGCUCUACCAAGUGGCAAGGUUUCCGUGUGUGUCCACCUGGGGCUGGUUGGAGGACUGGCCGCAGGGUCCAUCAGCUACGUGACCUUGGACAAUGAGAAAAUGCCUUCCAGGACUAAAAAGAAUUGGUGAGGUACACAACGAAACAGAUGAAUCUCAAAAACAUGCUGAGGUAAAGAAGCCAGACCCAAAGACAUCUCCGCUGUGGCCAGAUGGAGAUUCAAGACCCAAGGCUGCUUUUCUGCAUCAGUGCCGGCUCUGCGUGUUAAGAUACAACAGUCAAAACAGAAACCACAGCCACAGCCACAGCCUGCAAAAAUUCCCAGGCCAGAGACGGAGCGCAAGCCACAUCAGGGAGAACGCUGGAUCCUUAAUACACCAAGCCACCACGGAACUCUGAGUUGAGGUUAUUUCUGAUCCAGGUAAGCAAGGCAUCUUUGGGCCACCUCCCCACUCAGAUUCCCAAGAGAAGCUGGAGCGAGGGCUCCUGCCCCAUUUCCCACUAAGGUACUGGCUGAGUCUGCCAGCCUCACUGUCCUGUCUUCUGGGAAACGGGUUACAUGGAUGUCAUUGCCAAGAGCAGGUUCCCUGCAGCAAAGAGCUGUCAUGGGGCAGGGUGGGGGCCCUACUGAGGAGAGAGAGCGGCCUUCUCGGGGCCCAGCUCCCCUCUCCGCUAUCAUAUCUGAGACAGGCUGACCCUCCAGCCCUGCAGCCCAGCCCAGGAACAGCAACCACUUCCUGGAGCGAGUUCCCUGAACAGGCGGCCCUCAGGCCAGGCUCCAGGAGGUCAGCUCUGUAGGAAAGAGGGAGGGGCAGGGACAGCCUUGGGGAGCCUGAGGCAUCCCCAGCAGCGCUCCUGCCCCUGAGGGCCGCCAGCUCAGGGCAAGGCCCAGGCUAGCAAGCCCCACACAGGCUGUGCUGCUUCCAAGACGCCUCUGCCGGGCAAGGAGCGGGGACCAGUGGGCCUAUGCCACCCAGCAGCUAUGUGACCUGGGCCAUGCCUCUUGCAUGUCCUGAAAACAGGGAUAAGCCCUGCCCUGCCCUGAGCUGGGAUCCUUGGCAGCACAGAGGCUGAUGGGGACAGGCUGGAGGUCCAGGCUGGCCAGGGACACACCCAGCAUCAGGGAAUCUAAGGCCUGAUCACCCAAGCGCCCCCGCCACCUGGGGGGGGGUGUGGGCAGUUACCUCCUCCAUGAGACAGUGGCAUCCAGCACCCUCAGCACACCGUGGUGACCACAUCUUGGUAUAACUAUAUAUGCUAAUUAUAAACAGCAAUUAUUGCUGAAAGAGCACUGGCCUUGGAAAUCAGAAGCUUCAGAUCUGAACCCCAGCACUGCCGCCUCCAGGCUGUAUCCUCCAGUAAGUAAGUUCUUGAUCUCCUUAGCGCCGGUUCUCUGUCUGUAAAUAAGGAUCCAGCGCUGACUCUGAGCAACAGAGAAGACAGUGGAAGGGAAAGUCUGCCAACUGCAAAUGGUCACAUCUCCUCCAUCA
rnacentral:lncRNA from 1 species